AAACAUCUCUUAUCAAAACAUUCAGGGUUUUGAUUAUUGCUUUAUACAACAUAAGGAACAUAGUACAUGUUAAUCAUAUUUAGGCAUGCAAAAUAUAUGUAUACAUAAAAUUGUGAAUUUCUUAAAUGCCGCCAAAGGAAGAAGAACCAGCAACGCCAACGCGCAAAGAAAAACGAAUUGUCCGAGACGAGAAUCGUGGUCAAUGGAGUUCAAAAACGGAAUUUAUAUUGACAUGUAUUGGCUAUGCAAUUGGGAUCGGUAAUGUAUGGCGAUUUCCAUAUCUCUGUUACCGCAGCGGUGGUGGAGCUUUUUUGGUGCCAUACUUAUUAAUGGUUAUUUUCUGUGGCGUUCCUCUAUUUUAUAUGGAAGUGCUAAUUGGACAAUUCUCUAGCACUGGAUGCACAGGCAUGUUUCGCUUGGCACCCUUGCUGAGUGGAACAGGCGCAGCUCAGGUUAUAGUAAAUAUGUACUGUGUUUGUUACUAUUCCGUGAUUAUAUCAUUUCCGGUGCGCAUGAUAUCAUACUGUUUCAGUUCGACAGUUCCUUGGGUUGAUUGUGAUCAUUCAUGGAACACGGAUGCCUGUGUGCAGGUUGAUGAAUUGGCUAAGGUGGUUAAUGGGUCAUCCGAAAAGCUAUCCACUUCAGCAGAUGAAUUCUUUCAUCGGGAAAUCUUAAGAUUAUCAGAUAGUAUUGCCAAUUUGGGCAGUUUGGUAUGGGAACAGUUCGCUAGCUUAUUUAUAACAUGGAUUAUUAUAUAUAUCUGCCUAUUUGGAGGCAUUAAGUCGAUGGGGAAAGUUGUUUAUUUUACAGCUCCGUUUCCUUAUGUAUUGCUUUUCAUAUUAUUUAUACGAGGUAUAACCUUAGACGGUGCUUGGAGCGGGAUCAAGUUCUUUAUUUAUCCAGAAUGGGAUCGAUUGCUUGACCUUAAAGUCUGGGCCGAUGCAGCUAUACAAAUGUUUUUUGGCCUAGGACCUGGAUGGGGUGGCAUUGUUAAUAUGGCCAGUUUCAAUUCAUUUCGGAAUAAUGCAAAAUUCGAUUCAAUUUUCUGUCCUGCCAUAAAUGUGUUUACCAGCAUUUUUGCUGGUUUUGUGGUAUUCUCAGUACUGGGUCAUCUAUCGGAAAGAUCGGGCAUACCCGUAGCUACGGUGGCCACCUCGGGACCAGGUCUGGCAUUUGUGACAUAUCCUGAAGCCAUUGCCUUGUUACCCAUUCCACAAUUGUGGGCAGUCCUAUUCUUUUUCAUGCUCUUUCUGCUGGGCAUUGAUAGUGUGUUUGUUCAACUGGAGGCCAUCAUUUCAUCAAUUCUGGAUGAGAUUCAUUUCCUACGCAAUCAUAAAAAAAAAGUCACUUUGAUGGUUUGCACUACCUUCUUUGCGAUUUCCACUAUCAUGUGCACCAAUGGUGGCAUGUUUAUAUUGCAGCUGUUCGAUUGGUAUUCCUCGGCCAUAGCUGUAAUUGUCAUCUGUCUGGUGGAGAUCGUUAUGGUUUCCUAUAUCUAUGGCAUUAAAAACUUCCUUUUCGAUGUGGAAUUUAUGAUAGGCAAACGUCCUAGCUGGUUUUGGAGAAUCUCUUGGCAAUACUUAACUCCCUUGAUUUUGAUUUUCAUACUAUUCACGAGCACUAUUUUUAUACGAAGAAUAACUUAUAAUAGUAUAGCCUAUCCGGAAUGGGCAAUUUGUAUUGGUUGGGCAAGUUGUGUGUCGUCUGUGAUGUGGAUACCUCUCUAUAUAAUAUACAUUAUGAUUCGCAAACGUGAGACCAUGUGUGAUAGUCUUAAGAAACGUCUGAAACCGCUCGAUUGGACGCCAGCCGAUCCUGAAAUUCAAUCCGAAUACAAUGCAUACCGUAGAAAAAAUCGAAUGCCAGAGUUUAUGUCAGAGACAUCUGGCGGCGAAGAAACAAUUAAAUGAAUCAAUCUUUCGUCUAAAUUUAUCAUAUUUUCAAAACAUUUUCUUAAUGAAAUGUUCUGAAAAUAGUACAUGUCACACAAUUUAAUAGUCAAUUAGGCAAUACUUUUUAUGGAUCAUACCAUCAAGACACAUUAUUAAAUGUGUUCAGACUUUAUCAAAAUCGGGCGACCAUAGUAUAAAUCUCUGAUAGGAGCAAACAAAUCAAAAACUCAUAUCAUAUUUCAGUCAUACAAUUAUAAAAUUUGUCCCAUAUGAAUGUUUUUCCAUUAUAAAAUAUACCAAAAUCAGCAUGACCGACCAAAAUAUGUCACCUUUUUGUCUUGUUAAUAUUUUUAUUUUAUACAAAUAUGUUGGUAAGUUUAAUGCAUUGGUUUAGCUCAAUUGACCUCUUCCGUAACUUCAUACAAUUGAUGCGUUAUGUCCGAGGUUCCCAUGGCCUCCUCAUAUAGUUGACGAUCUGCUGUCUCCAAAGGAUACCAAUCUGUGGGACGACAGGCUCUACGGAAACGUACACAAAAUGUUCCAGCACCUUGCCACAUAUUAUAUAUACCAUAGCCGGGUAUAAAUAAUAAUGGUAUCAAUACCAAAAUUGUGCUUAUUAUCAGCACAACAGUUGAGGAAAACGAAUGCUCUAAUACAGAAAUAAAGAUGCCCAUCAACUGCAAAAAAAAGGGUCAAAUAACUAUAUUUUGUUUUAAAGAGAUAAUAGUUAGACGAACCAGCAAAUAAAUUAGCAUCAGGGGAGCCACAAAACGUAAAACAAUGAUUCUCCAAGAGGCAAAUGGUUGACCUAGCAUAAAUUCAAUAUCACGCUGAAAACGUUCACGUCCAUAGAUCCAUAGAAUGACCAAAAGGAGCAACAAAUGUAAUACGCUAUGAGAGAAGAUAGCAUCCAGACUGAGGCUCGAGAAA